GGAGGUGUCGCCUAGUCCGGUCUAUGGCGCCCGCCUGCUAAGCGGGAGUGGGUAACCCCCACACGCGGGUUCAAAUCCCGCCACCUCCGCCG
rnacentral:tRNA from 1 species